rnacentral:rRNA from 1 species
GACGAACGCUGGCGGCGUGCUUAACACAUGCAAGUCGAACGGAAAGGCCCUGCUUUUGUGGGGUGCUCGAGUGGCGAACGGGUGAGUAACACGUGAGUAAACUGCCCUUGACUUUGGGAUAACUUCAGGAAACUGGGGCUAAUACCGGAUAGGAGCUCCUGCUGCAUGGUGGGGGUUGGAAAGUUUCGGCGGUUGGGGAUGGACUCGCGGCUUACCAGCUUGUUGGUGGGGUAGUGGCUUACCAAGGCUUUGACGGGUAGCCGGCCUGAGAGGGUGACCGGCCACAUUGGGACUGAGAUACGGCCCAGACUCCUACGGGAGGCAGCAGUGGGGAAUAUUGCACAAUGGGCGGAAGCCUGAUGCAGCAACGCCGCGUGCGGGAUGACGGCCUUCGGGUUGUAAACCGCUUUCGCCUGUGACGAAGCGUGAGUGACGGUAAUGGGUAAAGAAGCACCGGCUAACUACGUG